rnacentral:rRNA from 1 species
UAGGGAAUCUUCCACAAUGGACGAAAGUCUGAUGGAGCAACGCCGCGUGAGUGAUGAAGGGUUUCGGCUCGUAAAACUCUGUUGUUGGAGAAGAACGGGUGUCAGAGUAACUGUUGACAUCGUGACGGUAUCCAACCAGAAAGCCACGGCUAACUACGUGCCAGCAGCCGCGGUAAUACGUAGGUGGCAAGCGUUGUCCGGAUUUAUUGGGCGUAAAGCGAGCGCAGGCGGUUUUUUAGGUCUGAUGUGAAAGCCUUCGGCUUAACCGGGGAAGUGCAUCGGAAACCGGGAGACUUGAGUGCAGAAGAGGACAGUGGAACUCCAUGUGUAGCGGUGAAAUGCGUAGAUAUAUGGAAGAACACCAGUGGCGAAGGCGGCUGUCUGGUCUGCAACUGACGCUGAGGCUCGAAAGCAUGGGUAGCGAACAGGAUUAGAUACCCUGGUAGUCCAUGCCGUAAACGAUGAGUGCUAAGUGUUGGAGGGUUUUCCGCCCUUCAGUGCUGCAGCUAACGCAUUAAGCACUCCGCCUGGGGGAGUACGACCGCAAGGUUGAAAC